UAAGGAGGCAAGCUAUACCCUAGAAGAAGCAAGAAACUAAUCGUCUUGGCAACAAAACAAAGAGAAUGAAAGCACACAAACAUAACCUCACAUCCAAAUAUGAAUAUAACAGGAAGCAUUAAUCACUAUUCCUUAAUAUCUCUCAACAUCAAUGGCCUCAACUCCCCAAUAAAAAGACAUAGAUUAACAAACUGGAUACGCAAUGAGGACCCUGCAUUCUGCUGCCUACAGGAAACACACCUCAGAGACAAAGACAGACACUACCUCAGAGUGAAAGGCUGGAAAACAACUUUCCAAGCAAAUGGUCAGAAGAAGCAAGCUGGAGUAGCCAUUCUAAUAUCAAAUAAAAUCAAUUUCCAACUAAAAGUCAUCAAAAAAGAUAAGGAAGGACACUUCAUAUUCAUCAAAGGAAAAAUCCACCAAGAUGAACUCUCAAUCCUCAUCUUCGAUUGGUUUAUAUACAAGUGUGCAAUUUCUAGACUUGAAAGUAAAAUGAUGCUAUCUGGUGCUGGAUAGAGGAGCCUUAUUUUUUAUUAUGGCAGCUUGCUAUUUUUGUAACAUGGUGAUUUGGUUGAACACAAUAAAGUACAGUAGUAACUGAUCUCCCCCUCUUCCUGGAUGAGUGAGGAGAUGAUUAAAUGUUGAUGUCAUGAGCAUAUUCAGAUGAGCUUCUGCUUCUGUUGAAAAGGAUGCUGUGUUUGAUUGUGGUCCAAAGCUUUGAAGCACUACUUGGCAUCUCCUUCCUUGGAGGUCUCACUGUUUUAACAUAACAGAUUUGAUAGCUUGUUGGUAAGGUGAGGUCCAGCUUGUCUCCACUAGGUCAUCUUCAUGUGAAUCCGGUGGUUAUACGGUUUUGUUGUAGGGAUAUUUCAUUUUUUUAAUAACGGUUUUAGCUGACAUUCAUGGAGAGAAUGAAUCCUUAGAAGUGUGCCACUAGUGAAAGGAAAUCCUGUCUAGAGUAUGUUUCUUUACAAAGCUGUGUCACACCAUCCUUUGGGCCCUCUGCUGGAAAAGUAGAAUCAAGUCUCAAAUAAUGCCUUUUAAAUUGUAUCCUCUAGUAUUAUAGCUGUAGGACAGUACUGUAUCAUACCUCUGUGGAUGUAAAAUAGCUUGUACCUGCUUUAUGAUACGUAGUAGUGACCGUGCUUUAUCAGAGCUGUUUUUAAUGAUGUUGCUCAGAAUGUUUUCUUUUCAGAUGAUGAUUGAGAAGCUAAUUUUAAAAAAAUGGUGCCAGGUACCACAAGAGUAACAGAACUGUGCUGUUUUCUCGGGUUUUGUUUUUUUACUUUUUUUUUUAAUGGAGUGUGCUGGAUGUCUCUACAGUUUUGUUCAGAUGACUGCAGAACCUGGAAAAGCUGUUGCUGCUGUUGAUGCAUAACACACUGCUAUUAUUGGUCUUUUUAUAUAAAUAUAAAUAUAUAUAUACAGAUAUAUAAUUUGAAAAAAAAAGAACAUGUUUUAUUCCUGUUUUCCUGAGAAAUAAUCACUAUGUCAGAAAAUCAAGAUGAAGAAACUAGAAGUAUGCAAAAAAAAAGUUACUAUAAUGUAUCUAAUAAACUUUGCCUUGUGAGAUUAAAACUAACUAAAUAAGUAAAGGAUCUCAUAUGCCCUUUGCAGUAGACUCAAACCUGACUCAAACUUUUCAAUUUUAGGCUUGAAUUUCAAUUUACUGAGCAAACUUCCUUUAUUUGGACAUGUUUUCUCCCCUUCUGGCUCAGCUCCGUCUCUCCUGCUGCCUAAUAUAUUUGUGUGAGUUGGGCUCACAUUUACAAAGCACCCAGUGUGAAAUGGCAUUUGCUUCCUGUGCAUUCACAUUUUUUUGUUUGUUUGUUUGUUUUGUUUUUUCACUCUUUCCUUUUUUUUCUUAGUUAGGAUUUUACAGCGUCUUCACACUGCUCUGCAAGUCAUCAAGAAGAGCUGUCUCUGAAGAAAAAGAUUUGGUUUACGCUUAAAAAGAAAAUCGUAAAAAAAAAAAAAAAAGAAAAUCGUAGCAGACACUCGUCUUCUACUGCCCAUUAAGAUAUGGUCAUGAAAUUAUUGUUAUUUUGAAAAUUCAUGAACCAAAGUGGGCAGAAUCUCUAGAAGAAUGUCUUUUAUCAUCUAGCUACAAUGUGCAAACAAGAAAAAUGUCAAUAAUCCAUGUUGGUUUGGGUACAUCUGAGUCCUGACUUAUCAAUAUUUCAUCAAGAACUAUUCUGUAUAUACUAGCAUUAACAUUUUCUUUAAAUCACCAAUUUCUUUUGAAUAUAGUAUUUUCCACUCAUACAUGCCUCUUACUAUCAAACUCCCUUUAUUAUGCUGUGUUAUAUAUUUUUAUUAGUUUACAAAUGGCUGAAUUUCCAUGUAUAGUUUUCAUUAACCCAGGCCUGUACUUCCUUAUCCACCCCCCCCAACAUUGAUUGGACUUAGGAAACUAUUAAAAUAAUAAUCACAAAAAUAUUUAAAAAUACAUCAAUUCAAAGAAGCAGCAAAAUUAUUUUAAAAAUCAUAUGCUACCUCAUUAAUAUACACAAAUUUUAUGUCUUCAUGUAUUAGUGAGAAAGGUUGAUGAUCCUUCCAACUAGAAUUAGAGACAGCGUAAAAAAAAAAGAUACAUCUUAUUAAAACCAAAAUCAAGAAAAAUAAAAACUAAGUUGAUGUUAAAAAUAAUCAGUGAAUUCCACCAUCCCUUAAAGUUUUAUGCAAAAGUUUAAAAUCGUUUAAUGAAACCGGUUACAUGGAGCUAACCAAACCUGAGGAGACAUUCAUAAAUAAAAAUUAAAAAAGACCACUAGUGAUUAUCUUAUGUUUUGGACAAUUCUGAACUGCUCAUUUUAUCUAAAAAAUAUGGAGUGAUUCCAUAUUUCUUAUACGCACAUUGUGUUAGUUCAGUUUACUGUCGCUGUGACGGAACGCUGUGACCAAAAUCAAGUCGGAGUUGAAAGGGCUUUCAUAGUACAGCCCAUCAUUAAGAAAGGUCAGGGCAGGAAUUCAAGCAGCACGGGAACGGGGAAGGAUCUGCUACAGAUGCCAUUUAGGAGUUCUGCUUACUGGGUUGCUGUUCAUGGCUUGCUCAGCUUGCUUGUAGAACUCAGGUGAUCCAGGCCAGGUUUCAGCCAACCCAUAAUUAACUCCUCCCAUAACCCCUGCUCGUUAAUCGCUACUUUUUUUUUUCAAAUGUCUAUUUUUUUCAUUGGACAGCUUAUGCAUUUACAUUUCAAAUGUUACUGCUUUUCCAAUUCCCCCCUCUCCCAUUCCCUUUCCCACUUAUUCUAUCAGAAUGCUCCCCCUCCUACCCAUCCACUCCCAUCUCAACACCCUGGCAUUCCCCUGCAUGGGGAAAAGAGCCUUCAUAGGACCAAGGGCUUCUCCUCCUAUUGAAUGCAGACAAUGCCAUGCACUGCUACAUACGCAGCUGCAGCCAUGGGUUUCCCCAUGUGUACUCUUUGGUUGGUGGUUUAGUCUCUGGGAGCUCUGAGGGGUCUGGUUUAUUGAUUUGUUGUUCUUCCUAUGGGGAUGCAAACCCCUUCAGCUCCUUCAGUCCUUUCUCUAACUCCUCCAUUGGGGUCCCCAUGCUCAGUCUGAUGGUGGGCUGCAAGCAUCUUAAUCUGUAUUUGUCAGGCUCUGGCAGAGCCUCUCAGGAGACAUCCAUAUCAGGUUCCUGUCAGCAAGCACUUCUUGGCAUCAACAAUAAUGUCUGCAUUGGUGGCUACAUAUGGGAUGGAUCCCCAGGGGUAGCAGUCUCUGGAUGGCCUUUCCUUCUGUCUCUGUUCUAUUCAUUGUCCCUGUAUCUCCUCCCAUGAGUGUUUUGUUCUUCCUUCUAAGAAGGACUGAUGCAUUCACAGAUUGGUCUUCCUUCUUCUUGAGCUUCAUGUGUUCUGUCAGUUAUAUCUUAGGUAUUACAAACUUUUGGGCUAACAUCCACUUAUCAGUGAACGCAUACCAUGUGUGAGUUUUUGUGAUCAGUUUACCUCAAUCAGGAUGAUAUAUUCUAGUUCUGUCUAUAUGUCUAUGAAUUCCAUGAAGUCAUUGUUUUUGGUAGCUGAGUAGUACUUCCGUGUGUAAAUAUGGCACAUUUUCUUUAUUCAUUCCUCUGUUGAAGGACAGCUGGGUUGUUUCUAGCUUCUGGCUAUUAUAAAUAAGGCUCCAUUAUGAACAUAGUGGAGCACGUGUGCUUGUUAUAUGUUGGGGCAUCUUUUGCGUGUAUGCCCAGGAGAGGUAUAGCUGGGUCCUCAGGUAGUACCUUGUCCGAUUUUUUUUGAGUAGCCUCCAGAUUGAUUUCCAGAGUGGUUGAACCAGCUUGCAUUUCGAACCAGCUAGAGUUCAAGUAGAAAGAAAACAACCAGAAGACAAAAUCCUGAACUACCAAAUGCCUGCCCAGGAGCUCUGCUAAGAUGACCCUAUUAAGCUUUUUAGACAGGAUGACUGGGUUUCCUGGCACCUCUUUGCAGGCUAGGGUAAUGUCAGCCAUUUUUAGAUUGGUUCUGUUUAUACCUUCCUACCCAUCCUGGGCAAGGAGAAAAAUGAAAAAAAAAACAUAUAUUGCCCAUCUUUUCUCAAUUUUGUAGGUAGAGGUUAUUAGCAUAGCUUCCUUUCAUUUUGUGAGACUCUUUGUAAUAAAAUAGCACAUUUCUAUACCCUCCUGGAAAAAAUGUAUUGUAGACUUUCUGUAGCCUAAUCUUGUAGAGAUAUUUUCUCAAUUGAGGUUCCCUCUUCUCAAAUGACUCUAGCUUGUGGCAAGUUGACAUGAAACUAGUGAGCUAGCACGCAUGUCAUCAACAUCCUGUCACUGAAAAACAUUGUUAUGCACUUUAGAUGCAAAAUAAUAAAUAAUUGUGUAGCAAUCUAUGCCCCUUUCCAUACUCCUCUGAAUUUGUAUAAACACCCAUGUAACGUGCCUUGCAUGACCUAAGUAUAAAUAAAGUUAUACUGUAUGAAACUAUCAGACAAGGCCAUAGCAAUGCCAUAGAUUGAAACCAUAGCAUCAAAGUCCUAGAAAAAUGUCCCUACAAUGCUCCUUCAGGUCCCUGUAGGCCACGUGUUGAAACUUUAGACAUAAACAUAUAUGCAAGAGGCAGGCGGUCUUACUUCUUAUGUCUAGGAUAAAGUAGAAAUUUUAACUUCGUCAGUGCAGAAAAGUGCUGAAUUCUAACGUAAACUGGAUGGACUACAUUAAAAUACACUGAAAUUUUAACAACAUCCUGUUGAACGUGUGUUUGGCGGUUAUGUGAAAAAUGGGACAGUGGCAUUCUUUGUUAACUUCUUUCAUACUUCCACAGACAUUCAAGCCAAUGUUAACUUGUAAGAUUAUAAAGUACAACAGAAUAUGACCGUUUUUGAUCAAAGGCAUAUGAAAUUCAUUCAAGACUUGUAUUUAUUUUCAUGCAUAAUCCCAAGUAAUGCCUGUCCGUAUCAUUGCACCAUAUUCCCUUAUCUGCAAUAUUCUAUUGGGCACUAGAAACUGACCUAUACAACAUGUAGCUAUGUUCUCAGAUUUUAAAUGUUCACAGUCUAAGAAGGGACAUGGAAAGAAAAGCAAAUUUAUUCAAAACCAUGGGGUUUGGAGAGCAAGGUAAGAUCAGAGUGAAGGUGUUUGAUUUGUCAAGGACCAAUGCCUCAGAUCUGUGAGAAAAUGACACCCCUACCUCCAGCCAUGAAGAUCCACCUGAGACUGCAAAAUAUUUAUUCCUACCUGAAUGUGAAUGUUGGCAGUGUAUUUAGAAAAUCUCCACCAUAGUUACUUCCUGUGGAGACUGCUCUAAAAGACAUUAGCUACACCUACAUUUUUGUAUAACUAUAUAUCAUAAUCCUACAUGUAUGCCCACAUUCAACUUUAUAAUAAAUAUGCUGGGCUUCCAGGCUCUGAAGCAGUCAUCAGGGAGCACAGUCUACUCUGCUGGAGAUGUUUUGUGUGACUGUCUGUCUGUCCUUUUAUCAUUUUCACUUUCAGUGGGUCAGUUCCAUCCCGAGGGCCUGGCAGGAUGUGGCAAUGCUCUGAUGUAUUUGCUGGAUGCUGCAGGGAUGGACUUGGUGAGGCAAUGGGGAAGUGUUUAUCAUUCCAUUUUUCAGUACUUCACAUUCUAGCAAGUCACAGUGCUGGGCCCUCAUUAACUCAUCUACACUCAAGGGCUCACUAACUGUGAGAAGUCUGACACCCAGACCAUCUCAAAGUGUUGCUGAACAAAAUAGAUAAUGUUAAGCUGGGCUUUCUAUCUGAAGGAGUCUUGUAAGUACUUUUAAAGAUAAGGAACAUUUAUCACAAACUCAUUUAUUUUUUAGAAGCCCUUUUUUGCAAGCCUUGAGAUGUUUGCUGACCUUCACUUCCCAGUAGGAUAAAUGCUUUCCUGUUUACACUAUAACUUUGUUUGGAUUUUUAAAGUUGUUAUUAACAAAGGGAGCAAAUUAUUUUCUACAUAUUGUAGCUAUUAGCAACAAAUUGGUACCCUUGCUCAAAGACAUUGUACUUUGAGUAUAUUUCUUAAUAGAGAUUUUUUGUUUUUCUGUUUUUAUUUUGUUUUUCUUCUUUUCCCUGCUUUUAUAUUUUUGUUCUCUCUCUGCCACCCCCCCUGUCUCUCUGUCGCUCUGUCUCUUUGCCUCUCUCUCUCUCUCUCUCCUUCUCACUCUGUCUCUAAGUGUAUACAAAGCAUUUGCAUGGAUGUUUCUUCUAACAUUUUUCUUUUAAAUUUGAAAGACAGCAUGAAGUUUAUUUUCAUCUAUGUUUUAUAUGACUAUAGAAUGCAUUAUACCUCUGGAAGUUGUGCCACCCUGUAGCAGAGGGUUUCAUUUUAACAGAUAACAAUGAGGCCUGUUCUAAAAUGCCAGGCCAUAUAUCAUUGCAAGUAAAAAUGUUUUCAUUUUAAUAUUUCAACCUAAUUGCCUGGGCAUCAAUGCAGUUCCUCACAGUAAGACUAUCACCUGCAAUUUUAGCAAAAUUUAGAAAUGAAAGCAUCUGAGAAAUUAUAAACAGAAUAUUCAAGAGCAUGUUUAUUUAUAAAUUUAGCAUUGAGAUCUACUUUAUGACUUUCUAAAAUGAGAGUUAUGAAAUUAUUGUAAUAUUUUAUAAAUCUAUUUUAUUUGCAUAUGAAACUCUAGAAGAAAUCUAUCCAAAACACUAAGUGCCUCAAGUCAAGCCUAAUGGACCAUUAAUAUACGGUCAGUAAAAUUAUUCUAUCAGGAUUAGUAUUUUGCUCUGUUAUGUGAUUACAUCUGGAUUCAAUAUUUCUUAUAAUAGAAAUAGGUAUAUAUUCAGAUUUUAUUUUAAAUAAAAUUUAAGUUUUUACAUAAAUAAUUGUAUACUUGAUAAAAAGACAAAUAUUGAAGUUGUAAGUAAAGCUUAGGAGAGUUUGCUUUUAUUGCAGUAAGGAAGUGAGAAGACUAGGCUGAUUCCAUGACAGACUUCAAAUCGGCAGUUAAGGAGACUAGUCCUAAAACCUGGGCAAGCUGAGGCAAGCCCAGACCAGUUAAUUACUAAGAGGCUCCAGCCUUCAAGCCCAGGUAAUGGAAUGUCCCAGCCACCUGGCCUGAAGCAAGGACAGUGGGUAAGCAGCAGUCUUCAGACUUCCUCAGCUACUUCCCCAGUAACACUUCCCAGACUUCCCCAGCAAGUUUCCAGUCCUCACACCCUAGUAAUAGAUGUCCACAGAGAUGAACUCAACAGAUUAACAUAGAGUUUACCUACCCCGCGAUUCCCUAAUGUGCUUUAAACCAGGCCUGCAAGCCUGGUAAUGGGAGACCCCAGCACGCUGUACUUCUGCACAGUAAGACACUCACUCACACACCACUUAAGUCUAGGGUAUCAUUCUUAGGCAAAUCGUGGACCUUAACUGAGGAAGUUGUCAGGGAGAACCCAUAGUCACAGUUUUGUUACCUGAUUAUUUGCUGGUGACCAUUUAUUCAUUUUCUAAAUUUAAGAGUAUUUUAUUGAUGGGACUGGAGAUGUGACUCAGCGAUUAAUAGCAUUUGUAGAGAUCCCGAGUAGUUCUCAGCAUCUACAUGGUGGCUAAAACCUAUCUAUAACUCCAGGUCCAGGAGAUUUUUAUAUCCUUUUCUGGCCUCCAUGGGCACCAGGCACAUGCAUAGUACACAUACAUACACAUGAAAAGGCACUCCUACAUAUCAAGUCUAAGUAAAUAAAAUGCUACAAAAGAAAGAGAAGGAGGGGUCAGGCUGGAGAGAUGGCUCAGUGGUUAAGAGCAUUGAUUGCUCUUCCAGAGGUCAUGAGUUCAACCCCCAGCCACCACAUGGUGGCUCACAACCAUCUGUAAUGGGAUCUUCUGAUCUUUCUGAAGACAGCUACAGUGUACCUACAUAUAAUAAAUCAAUCUUUAAAAAAAAAAGAGGAGGUAUGAAAGGGUUCGAGAUGGCACAUCCUCAUGAUUUCAACAGCUAACGUAUUUUCUGGGGAGUUUAAGUCGAGAUGUGAUAAUACAGAACAUAAAAGUAUCAAAACCAAGUUUCUAGAAGACAGGACUAAUGAAACUCAGUGUCAAAUUGUUCCUCCACACUUUGUAAAAAGGAGAGAUUUGAUCUUAUAGGCUACACAGGUGACACUAAAUGUGUAUAUCUCUCUUUUUUUUGGUUACAUUAAACAUAGUUUUAUUAUUUCCUAGUCUUUUAUUUGUGCCUUGUCAGUUAACAUUGUAAAUUAAUUAUUUUUGGAAAUAAGUCUAUGAAUACUGUAUUAAUAACAAUUAGGCAAGAGAACGUAGUUUGAUUUAGAGUAUAUACAUAUAUAUAUAUAUAUAAACAUAUAUGCAGUAUUAUCUAUUACAUUUACACUCCACCUUUAUUUCCCAAUGUCUGAAUUUUCUAAAUAGCCCAUAAAACUUAGAAUCAAAAGGAGGUACUUAAGCACAUGCAUACUUCUUUGAAUAAUUAAAGGCUAACUUUAUCAAAAUAUGUCUACCUUACUUUUCUUGUCACUGUAACAAUAUGCAUGGAAGAAACCUCCUGAAUGAGUAAACAUUCAUUUCAGUUCACUGUUUGAAAAAAAAUAUAUAUACAUACAUACAUACAAAAUAAUAUGGUAAUUUAAGUACAACAAGUAAAGGGAAAUAACAUAGAAAUUAUAUACUAAAGGUAGAAAAUAUUAAUAGUAGGUACAUAUUAAUAAGGAUAUGGAUAUUCUAUCAUUCUGUAUCUUGCAUGUUGGAAAAUAUUUCAUAAGAAACUACUGGAUGAUUUAAUUAAAAACAUAUUCUUUAAUCCAUUAAUAAUUUCCAGAGUGUCUAUAGACAAUAGCCACAAUAGAAAAAUUUACUUCUAUAUUUAGAAUUCCUUGACCAUACUCAUCAUGGUUUAACAUCCAGACAUUCACUGAGUUCAAAAUAGGAAACAUGUUUGCGAUACUUUUCUUACUCAAAAAUCUCUCCUAAAUGACUGUACUUGUUCCAAAACCUUACAUUACUAACUAAUAAAUGUUUUGACUGUGUAGUUCUGUCCUAGUAACCAUGAAAGAACAUAUGGUAGCCUAAGUAAAUGUACAGUGCUAAUUAGAAUCAAUGGCAAAUUUUAUCACAUGACACAGUUCUUACAUCACCAAGUUGUUUAUAAUCUUAUUAUAACUUCAUUUAAAAUGCUAGUAAUACAGAGCAAAUACUUUAACAAAUGUUUGAGAAAAAAGAAAAGGCAUGGCAUUCAAGCUCAUGGAAAACACCAAGGCCCAACAUGAGUAACAAGUGAAGGAAAAAUACUACUGAGAAGCAAAUGAGGCAGGGGCAUGAGGACCAUGAUUCAGCAUCCAGAAUCCAGUCCUCAUGGGAAAGUAGACAUCUUGUUCUUAAUUAUUUCAUCUAAAGUAUUUUAUUUACUUAAUUUUAUUCUUCUCUUACACACUGUUUCCCCUUUCUCCAGUCCUCCCAGACAAAUCCCCUAUUUUUCCAGCCCUCCUCAUCUUCUCACCUCCCCUAGAUCCAGCCACUCUCCUCUUCAGAAAAGAACAGGCUUCCCAGGGAUAUUAACUGAAUAUAUCGUAACAAAAUGCAGCAAGACUGGCCACGUACCCUCAUAUCGGAGAGGAGCUAGCAAGCCAGUAGGAGGAAAAGGCUCUCAAAUGGCAAGUGAAAGGUUCAGACAUACCCCAACUCCCACUGUUAGGACACCCACAGAAACACUAAGCUAAUACCCAUAAUAAAUAUGCAGAAGAACUGGGUCAGACCUAGCAAGCUCCCUGGUUCUUGUGUCAGUCUUUGUGAAUCCCGAUGAACCCUGCUUACUAGAUUCUGUGGGCAGAGUUUGCCCAAACGCCUCUGGCUUAAUGAAUAUAUUUUCAUCUCUGUGUGGGUCUCCCCAAUUUUUUCUGUAUCUUAAUGUUUAUGUUUUUUAUUGUAACUAGAGUUUUUUUCUCAUACAAUAUAUCCUGACCUCAUUUUUCCUUCUUUCCUUUCUCCAAGCUUCUCCCCCUCUUCCAGAUCCAUCCCCACUGCAUUCCAUAUGAGAAACACACAGGUCACGCAGUAGAAGAAAAAGAAUCCCAGGAGCAAGAGUCAGAGAGACUGGAUCACCUGUUGCUGGGAGAUAGAAGGAAUAAGAGGAAAAGCAGAAAAAGGACAAAGAGGACAAAGAUGAAGACGACAUCCUGUGAAACACAGAUGCACACUAGGGAGAAGGUGUUGUGUGCUCUACAUUUUAUGGUGAAGAAAUACACAAAAUUCUAGUACUGUUCACUUAUAUUUAGUUUUUAUAAUAAAUCCAUGCAGAAAGAAUAAUCCAGUAUAAUU